AUAUUAUUAAUUUAAUUAAAUAAUUGGAUUAUUAUUAUUGGAUUAUUUUUACUAUUAUUAUUGGAAUAAAAGUAGAAAUCAGUAAAAAGGUCCCAUUUGGUAAAAAGUUUAUUUUUUCACGUGAAAAGGGAAAAGAGACAAAAAAGUGAAAAAGGGCAAAGAGAGCCAGAGAACAAGGGUUGAAGGGAGGAAGAGCUUGAAGCUUAAAAGAUUCGCCGGAUUAACUCAGGUAAGGGGGGUUUAUCGUCGAUUAACGGGUAUUAUGGGAUAACAUGUCAUGGGUAGUGAUAGACUAUUGAUUUGUCCCUGAUUUGAAUAAUGCAUGAUGAAAAUUGUGAAAUAUUGGAUGAAUGAAAAAUUGGGUUACG
rnacentral:lncRNA from 1 species